UAUACGAGCAAAGAAGGCUUGAGACUUUGAGCUCUCAUAAUUUCCAUUUAACAACUCCAAACUAAUCUUAUUAUUCAUUUUAUUCCUAUAAUGAGUUUUCCAAUGUUGUUCACUAUUUUAUUGGAUAAGUUUUCAGCCAGUAACAAGGACACAGUGCAAAUCAAAUGUCAAAUGGAAUGGGGAUUUUAUUUUCUGUAUUAAACCUGGUAUUAGCGUUGCCUGCGAUAUAUUCACAAAUAUUUUAUGCCAACUAGUUUGAACUGCUCUACUGUUUUAUAUUUUUGAGACAUUAGCACUAACAUGCUUGAUAUGUUGGCAUUUACUUUUUUGGCCUAGUUAGUUUGAACUGCUCCCUUUUUAGUUACAUGUGCCUUCUAAUGACAUUUUUGGCAUAUUCCUAAUGUAAAUCUAGAAAGCCUGGAGGUGUGUUCUACUGAAACAUUACUUGAAAAAUAAUAAAGUUCCUUAUGACUUGAGCUUAUAAUUAUACUGAUUUCUCUUUUAUUAGAACUUUCUAGCCUUUCACUUUCAUCCUAGAUAUCAUCAUUGGCAUAUUAAUUUGACUCUGCAUAUUAUGCCUUCUACAAAAUGCAGGAAAUGGCUAAGAUCAUACAAGGAAUCAAGAUAUUCUUUCUCAUCUAUUGAGGACCUGGGAAGUGUGGCUAGUCUAAUUAAUGAUAGAAGUUUAUCAUUCUUAUCGGAGGAAUCUAAAUCCUUUGAAUCGUGUCUAUCUUAUGGCAUAUAUGAGAUCCCAUGUGAUUGAUAUGUCUUUUCACAUUGUAUCCAUGGCAUAAAGGUUGAGUUGGGCUUGGAUAUCAUCGAUACACUUUUUGCAAGUUUUAAUUGAGUUUAGUUUUACUUGGUAUGAAUUUGAAAUAAACAUUUGUGUGUCACUGUGAAUGAUAUCACACUUGUGGUAUGAAUUUGGAAUAAACACUUGUAUGAAUUCAUCUUUUUAUAUUUAUCUAUUUAGUUGAUGCUUUUUCUA